CCUACGGGGGGCACCAGUGGGGAAUAUUGCACAAUGGGCGCAAGCCUGAUGCAGCCAUGCCGCGUGUAUGAAGAAGGCCCUAUGGUUGUAAAGUACUUUCAGUCAGGAGGAAGGCGUUGAUGCUAAUAUCAUCAACGAUUGACGUUACCGACAGAAGAAGCACCGGCUAACUCCGUGCCAGCAGCCGCGGUAAUACGGAGGGUGCAAGCGUUAAUCGGAAUUACUGGGCGUAAAGCGCACGCAGGCGGUUGAUUAAGUUAGAUGUGAAAUCCCCGGGCCUAACCUGGGAAUGGCAUCUAAGACUGGUCAGCUAGAGUCUUGUAGAGGGGGGUAGAAUUCCAUGUGUAGCGGUGAAAUGCGUAGAGAUGUGGAGGAAUACCGGUGGCGAAGGCGGCCCCCUGGACAAAGACUGACGCUCAGGUGCGAAAGCGUGGGGAGCAAACAGGAUUAGAUACCCGCGUAGUC
rnacentral:rRNA from 1 species